rnacentral:lncRNA from 1 species
GCUGAAUUUGUGCCCUUUCCUCUGUUUUUCUCUAAAACUGUUUUCAGAAGUAGUUAAUGCUGUUUUGAUAAAAAUUCAACUCCAUACUGCUUGCUUUGCAUUUUUAGGAAAAUAAAGGCAGCUUUGGCUGGUGCUGGGAAGCCUGUUCCCGUAGAGCAGAGGACAGACAGUUCCCGGAGACCCUCUUAGCUUGAUGACAGGGUCUCUCGGAGCCUAGGCUGGCUUCUAGCUUGCUAUGCAGCUGAGAAUGUCCUUGAAUACUGAUCUUCCUGCCUUCAUCUUCCAACUCCUGUGAUCUUAAGCCUGGGCUAUAAACCAAGCUUCAUGGCCGCCACUCUGAAAACGCCACACGAUGCACAAGUGUGACAGAUCAGCCAGUAAAGGAACCUGCUGCCAAGCUGACCCAUGUGACUUCCAUCCCUGAGACCCACAUUGUGGAAGGAGAAAACAACUUUCACAAGUUGUCCUCUGACCACCGCAUACACACCAUGGCGUGUGCACAGAGUGCACUCGGCCCACAUAUGUGAAAACCGAGACUCCGCAGGCUCCCUCCUGGAGACCUAGCUCUCAGUUUGCCUUCUGCCCUA